rnacentral:rRNA from 1 species
AUUGAACGCUGGCGGCAGGCCUAACACAUGCAAGUCGAGCGGAUGAAGGGAGCUUGCUCCUGGAUUCAGCGGCGGACGGGUGAGUAAUGCCUAGGAAUCUGCCUGGUAGUGGGGGAUAACGUCCGGAAACGGGCGCUAAUACCGCAUACGUCCUGAGGGAGAAAGUGGGGGAUCUUCGGACCUCACGCUAUCAGAUGAGCCUAGGUCGGAUUAGCUAGUUGGUGGGGUAAAGGCCUACCAAGGCGACGAUCCGUAACUGAUCUGAGAGGCUGAUCAGUCACACUGGAACUGAGACACGGUCCAGACUCCUACGGGAGGCAGCAGUGGGGAAUAUUGGGCAAUGGGCGAAAGCCUGAUCCAGCCAUGCCGCGUGUGUGAAGAAGGUCUUCGGAUUGUAAAGCACUUUAAGUUGGGAGGAAGGGCAAUAAGUUUAUACCUUGCUGUUUUGACGUUACCAACAGAAUAAGCACCGGCUAACUUCGUG